CCUACGGGGGGCAGCAGUGAGGAAUAUUGGUCAAUGGGCGCGAGCCUGAACCAGCCAAGUCGCGUGAGGGAAGACGGUACUAUGGAUUGUAAACCUCUUUUGUCGGGGAGCAAAAGACGCCACGCGUGGCGUUCCGAGAGUACCCGAAGAAAAAGCAUCGGCUAACUCCGUGCCAGCAGCCGCGGUAAUACGGGGGAUGCGAGCGUUAUCCGGAUUUAUUGGGUUUAAAGGGUGCGCAGGCGGAAGAUCAAGUCAGCGGUAAAAUUGAGAGGCUCAACCUCUUCGAGCCGUUGAAACUGGUUGUCUUGAGUGAGUGAGAAGUAUGCGGAAUGCGUGGUGUAGCGGUGAAAUGCAUAGAUAUCACGCAGAACUCCGAUUGCGAAGGCAGCAUACCGGCGCUCAACUGACGCUCAUGCACGAAAGUGUGGGUAUCGAACAGGAGUAGAUACCCCUGUAGUC
rnacentral:rRNA from 1 species